GUAGGUGAACCUGCGGAAGGAUCAUUAACGAGUUAGGGUCUUCCAGGCCCGACCUCCCAACCCUUUGUUUACAGAACCUCUGUUGCUUCGGCGGACCCGUCUCACGACCGCCGGAGGACCGCCGAGAGGCGUCCUCUGGUCAGUGUCCGUCGAUAGCCCAACUUAAACCCUGAAUGAAUCGUGUCGUAUGUCUAAGUCUAAGAUUAAAUAAAGCAAAACUUUCAACAACGGAUCUCUUGGUUCUGGCAUC
rnacentral:misc_RNA from 1 species